GUGAGCGUAGCUCAGCCGGUAGAGCACCGGAUUGUGGCUCCGGAGGUCGUGGGUUCGAGUCCCGCCGCUCACCCCA
rnacentral:tRNA from 1 species